rnacentral:rRNA from 16 species
UCCCGCCUGGGAAGUAUGCUCGCAAGAGUGAAACCCAAAGGAAUUGACGGGGGCCCGCACAAGCGGUGGAGCAUGGGGUUUAAUUCGAUGCAACGCGAAGAACCUUACCAAGGCUUGACAUGUUCCAGACCGCCUCAGAGAUGGGGUUUCCCUUCGGGGCUGGUUCACAGGUGGUGCAUGGUUGUCGUCAGCUCGUGUCGUGAGAUGUUGGGUUA